GCAUCCGCCGGCCCGCAGUACCUUGUACUUAUCAAAGCCAGCCAGCUGCUCCGGGCUCACGUAUUCGUAGCCAGCCAUGACGACCCGAAAACUGAGCGCCCACUCGGCAGCGACUCCCGGCUACAAGGCUGUGACACACAAGCACCACACCGGCUGGGCAAGGAUGGCAAAGACUGGGCUGCCCGAGAAGGGACAGAGUCAGGCUGGAGGGGAAUCUGGAUCUGGGCAGCUCCUGGACAAAGAGAAUGGAGCAGGGGAAUCAGCGCGGGUCUCCGUCUAUGUACAUCUGGACUUUCCAGAUAAGACCUGGCCCCCUGAACUCUCCAGGACACUGACUCUCCCUGCUGCCUCAGCUUCCUCUUCCCCAAGGCCUCUUCUCACUGGCCUCAGACUCACAACAGAGUGUAAUGUCAACCACGAGGGGAAUUUCUAUUGUGCUUGCCUCUCUGGCUACCAGUGGAACACCAGCAUCUGCCUCCAUUACCCUCCUUGUCAAAGCCUCCACAACCACCAGCCUUGUGGCUGCCUUGUCUUCAGCCAUCCCGAACCCGGGUACUGCCAGUUGCUGCCACCUGGUGAGGAAGGUUGGGAACUUGGAAACCAAUG
rnacentral:sRNA from 1 species